rnacentral:rRNA from 1 species
AGAGUUUGAUCAUGGCUCAGGACGAACGCUGGCGGCGUGCUUAACACAUGCAAGUCGAACGGUGAACCUGCUUCGGUGGGGGAUCAGUGGCGAACGGGUGAGUAACACGUGGGCAACCUGCCCCUGGCUCUGGGAUAACUCCAAGAAAUUGGGGCUAAUACCGGAUAUGACCGCUGACCGCAUGGUCUGGUGGUGGAAAGAUUUAUCGGCUGGGGAUGGGCCCGCGGCCUAUCAGCUUGUUGGUGGGGUAGUGGCCUACCAAGGCGACGACGGGUAGCCGGCCUGAGAGGGUGACCGGCCACACUGGGACUGAGACACGGCCCAGACUCCUACGGGAGGCAGCAGUGGGGAAUAUUGCGCAAUGGGCGAAAGCCUGACGCAGCGACGCCGCGUGGGGGAUGACGGCCUUCGGGUUGUAAACCUCUUUCAGCAGGGACGAAGCGGAAGUGACGGUACCUGCAGAAGAAGCACCGGCCAACUACGUGCCAGCAGCCGCGGUAAUACGUAGGGUGCAAGCGUUGUCCGGAAUUAUUGGGCGUAAAGAGCUCGUAGGCGGUUCGUCGCGUCGGCUGUGAAAUCCCGAGGCUCAACCUCGGGUCUGCAGUCGAUACGGGCGGACUUGAGUUCGGCAGGGGAGACUGGAAUUCCUGGUGUAGCGGUGAAAUGCGCAGAUAUCAGGAGGAACACCGGUGGCGAAGGCGGGUCUCUGGGCCGAUACUGACGCUGAGGAGCGAAAGCGUGGGGAGCGAACAGGAUUAGAUACCCUAGUAGUCC